rnacentral:lncRNA from 1 species
CCCUGGGAUUCUGGUGCUGAUGGCGGUACUUCGGUUCAGGCGGAGGCAUCCUUACCAAGGAAUCUGCUUUUCAAGUAUGCCACCAACAGUGAAGAGAACUGAAAUCAAAUAUAGACCUACUAUUCAAAACUUUGAAAAUGUUUUAAACUGAUGGGUUAUUCUUUUAUGGGGGUUUUCCCCUUGUCCUCCUGAAAUAAUCUCUUAUGACUACUUGACUACAGAAAAAUCAGUUCAAGCAUUUAUAUUUUAGAAGCGUUACCCUGUAGAGUUUCUGCCGUCGGUUGAGACUGCUUGCACUCAAGAGGCACUGUGGCUCUGUGAGUCUCACCUCCCUGUAUCGUGGCUGAUAAACAUCAGACAGAUUGUGAGGACUCCUUUGGUGUCCAUUCUGAUCGAAAUCCAUUAUUAACUCAAGCCAUCUGUAAAAAGUAUCUCACCAUAACAUGCAAUUCUCUCUUCAUGUUGCCUUUUAUUUGAGAAAUGAUGUACCAAGGCAUCACCAUGUCUCCUUUAAUAGAAAGAUAAUGAAGAAGGAAACCUUCUCCAAACAACUUUGUUCACUUCACUCCUUUUAAAAAUGGGGUGAUUGCCGGGCGCGGUGGCUCACGCCUGUAAUCCCAGCACUUUGGGAGGCUGAGGACAGCAGAUCACCUGAGGUCAGGAGUUCAAGACCAGCCUAGCCAACAUGGUGAAACCCCAUCUCUACUAAAAAUACAAAAAUUAGCCGGGCGUGGUGGUGGGCGCCUGUAAUCCCAGCUACCUGAGAGGCUGAGGUAGGAGAAUCGCUUGAACCUGGGAGGUGGAGUGAGCCGAGAUCGUGCCAUUGCACUCCAGCCCAGGCAACGAGAGUGAAACUCUGUUUCAAAAUAAAUAAGUAAAUAAAUGCCAUUGCACUCCAGCCCAGGCAACAAGAGCAAAACCCUGUUUCUAAAUAAAUAAAAUAAAAUAAAAAUGAGGUGAUUGCAGGCUGAAGGUCUUGGUCACUACUGAGUUCUAGUUCUCUCAAGACAAAUAUUCAUAUGGUCAAAA